AGUCGAGGGGUAUAGGUUUUCGGACCUAGAGGCCGGCGCACGGGUGCGUAACGCGUAUGCAACCUACCUUGAACAGGGGGAUAGCCCAGAGAAAUUUGGAUUAAUACCCCAUGGUAUUAUAGAGUGGCAUCACUUUAUUAUUAAAGUCACAACGGUUCAAGAUGGGCAUGCGUCCCAUUAGUUAGUUGGUAAGGUAACGGCUUACCAAGACGAUGAUGGGUAGGGGUCCUGAGAGGGAGAUCCCCCACACUGGUACUGAGACACGGACCAGACUCCUACGGGAGGCAGCAGUGAGGAAUAUUGGUCAAUGGGCGCAAGCCUGAACCAGCCAUGCCGCGUGCAGGAUGAAGCAUCUAUGGUGUGUAAACUGCUUUUGUACGGGAAGAAACCCUGCCUCGUGAGGCAGAUUGACGGUACCGUAAGAAUAAGGAUCGGCUAACUCCGUGCCAGCAGCCGCGGUAAUACGGAGGAUCCAAGCGUUAUCCGGAAUCAUUGGGUUUAAAGGGUCCGUAGGCGGCCCAGUAAGUCAGUGGUGAAAUCUCCCCGCUUAACGGGGAAACUGCCAUUGAUACUGCUGGGCUUGAAUUACUAGGAAGUAACUAGAAUAUGUAGUGUAGCGGUGAAAUGCUUAGAGAUUACAUGGAAUACCGAUUGCGAAGGCAGGUUACUACUAGUGGAUUGACGCUGAUGGACGAAAGCGUGGGUAGCGAACAGGAUUAGAUACCCUGGUAGUCCACGCCGUAAACGAUGGAUACUAGCUGUUGGGUCGCAAGACUCAGUGGCUAAGCGAAAGUGAUAGGUAUCCCACCUGGGGAGUACGGGCGCAAGCCUGAAACUCAAAGGAAUUGAC
rnacentral:rRNA from 1 species